UACUAUGUUACGACUUAUUCCAAUUUAUAUAUGAAAGCGACGGGCAAUAUGUACAUAUUUUAAUUAUUAAUCAUUUUAAUAAUUUAAAUAAAAUUACAUUCAAAUCCACUUUCAAUUAAAUAUUUCAAUUUAAUAUCCAUUAAUAAAUAAAUUUAUUGUAAUCCAUUAUAUUCUUAAUUAUAAUCUGCAUCUUGAUCUGAUUUUAUUUUUAUUUAAAAUUUUAAAAUAUUAUUUUUAUUAAAAAAUAUUUUUAUAACAACGAUAUACAAAAUAAUAAAUUAAGUAAAUUUAUUCGUGGAUUAUCAAUUAAUAAACAGAUUCCUCUGAAUGAACUAAAAUACCGCCAAUUUAUUUAAGUUUCAAUAAAUUAUUUACUAUUUUAGUUUUAUUUAUUUAAUUUUUUAAUAAUGAGGGUAUCUAAUCCUAGUUU
rnacentral:rRNA from 1 species